UACGUAGGGCGCAAGCGUUGUCCGGAAUUAUUGGGCGUAAAGAGCUCGUAGGCGGUCUGUCGCGUCGGAUGUGAAAGCCCGGGGCUUAACCCCGGGUCUGCAUUCGAUACGGGCAGACUAGAGUGUGGUAGGGGAGAUCGGAAUUCCUGGUGUAGCGGUGAAAUGCGCAGAUAUCAGGAGGAACACCGGUGGCGAAGGCGGGUCUCUGGGCCGAUACUGACGCUGAGGAGCGAAAGCGUGGGGAGCGAACAGG
rnacentral:rRNA from 1 species